rnacentral:rRNA from 1 species
AAUAUUGGACAAUGGGGGCAACCCUUAUCCAUCCAUACCGCGUGUGUGAAGAAGGUCUUCGGAUUGUAAAGCACUAUAAGGUGGGUGGAAGGAAUUUCGGUUAAUACUCUGAUGUUUUGACGUUGCCAAAAGAAUGAGCACCGGCUAACUCUAUGCCAUAAGCCGCGGUAAUACAGAGGGUGCAAGCGUUAAUCGGAAUUACUGGGCGUAAAGCGCGCGUAGGUGGUUCAGUAAGAUGGGUGUGAAAUCCCCGGGCUUAACCUGGGAACUGCUUUCAUAACUGCUGAGCUAGAGUACGGUAGAGGGUAGUGGAAUUUCCUGUGUAGCGGUGAAAUGCGUAGAUAUAGGAAGGAACACCAGUGGCGAAGGCGACUACCUGGACUGAUACUGACACUGAGGUGCGAAAGCGUGGGGAGCAAAC